ensembl:misc_RNA Metazoa_SRP Metazoan signal recognition particle RNA
GCCGGGCGUGGUGGCGGGCGCCUGUAAUCCCAGCUACUCAGGAGGCUGAGGCAGGAGAAUCGCUUGAACCCAGGAAGUGCAGGUUGCAGUGAGCCGAGAUCACACCAGCCUGGCUGAUACAGCGAGACUCUGCCUCAA